rnacentral:rRNA from 1 species
AGCAGUAGCCGCGGUAAUACGUAGGUGGCAAGCGUUGUCCGGAAUUAUUGGGCGUAAAGGGAGCGCAGGCGGACAUAUAAGUCCAUCUUAAAAGUGCGGGGCUCAACCCCGUGAGGGGAUGGAAACUGUAUGCCUUGAGUGCAGGAGAGGAAAGCGGAAUUCCCAGUGUAGCGGUGAAAUGCGUAGAUAUUGGGAGGAACACCAGUGGCGAAGGCGGCUUUCUGGACUGCAACUGACGCUGAGGCUCGAAAGCCAGGGGAGCGAACGGGAUUAGAGACCCGUGUAGUCCCUGUCUCUUAUACA